GUUUGACCUCGGAUCAG
rnacentral:rRNA from 4 species